GCACGGGAAGGGCGUAGGGCCCCCCCCGGUGCCGACCGAGGCCGGGCGGCCGGAGGGGGGCCGAAGCGCGGCGAACGGAGCGGGCGUGGAAGCGACGCCGCCGCUGCCGGCCGGACGGCCCCGCAACGCGGCAGGCGCCGAAGCCCCACCGUAAUGAUCCUUCCGCAGGUUCACCCACGGAAACCUUGUUACGACUUUUACUUCCUCUAGAUAGUCAAGUUCGACCGCCUUCGACACCGGCAGGGCCGUGCCGGCACCGGGCCGGGCCGAUCCGAGGACCUCACUAAACCAUCCAAUCGGUAGUAGCGACGGGCGGUGUGUACAAAGGGCAGGGACUUAAUCAACGCUGAGCUUAUGACCCGCGACUUACUGGGAAUUCCUCGCUCACGGGAAGAAUUGUAAUCCCCGAUCCCCAUCACGAAUGGGGUUCAACGGGCUACCCGCGCUUCGCCGGGCGGAGGGUAGGCACAAGCUGAGCCAGUCAGUGUAGCGCGCGGCGCCCCGACAUCUAAGGGCAUCACAGACCUGUUAUUGCUCACCUCGGGUGGCUGAACGCCACUUGUCCUCUAAGAAGUUGGACGCCGACCGCCGGGGUCGCUGCGAACUAGUUAGCAUGCCAGAGUCUCGCUCGCUAUCGGAAUUAACCAGACAAAUCGCUCCACCAACUAAGAACGGCCAUGCACCACCACCCACGGAAUCGAGAAAGAGCUCUCAAUCUGUCAAUCCUGUCCGCGUCCGGGCCGGGUGAGGUUUCCCGUGUUGUCAAAUUAAGCCGCAGGCUCCACUCCUGGUGGUGCCCUUCCGCCAAUUCCUUUAAGUUUCAGCUUUGCAACCAUACCCCCCGGAACCCAAAGACUUGGGUCUCCGGAGCUGCCCGGGCGGUCAUGGGAAUAACGCCGCCGGAUCGCCAGUCGGCAUCGCUUAUGGUCGGAACUACGACGGUAUCUGAUCGCCUCAACCUCCCCGACUUCGCUCUUGAUUAAUGAAAAACAUUCUUGGCAAAUGCUUUCGCUCUAGGCUGCCUUGCGCCGGGUCCAAGAAUUUCACCUCUAGCGGCACAAUACGUAAUGCCCCCGCCGCCCCUCUUAAUCAUGGCCCCGCUUCCUAAAACCAACAAAAUAGAACCGAGUCCUAUUCCAUUAUUCCUAGCUGCAGCACGCCGGGCGGCCGCCUGCUUUUGAACACUCUAAUUUUCUCAAGUAAACGCUUCGGGCCCCGCUGGGACACUCAGCUAAGAGCAUCGAGGGGGGCCGAGAGGCAGGGGCUGGGACAGGCGGUGGCUCGCCACGGGCGGACCGCCAGCUCGAUCCCAAGAUCCAACUACGAGCUUUUUAACUGCAGCAACUUUAAGAUACGCUUAUUGGAGCUGGAAUUACCGCUGCUGCUGGCACCAGACUUGCCCUCCAAUGGAUCCUCGCCAAGGAUUUAAAGUGCGCCAUUCCAAUUACAGGGCCUCAAAGAGUCCUGUAUUGUUAUUUUUCGCCACUACCUCCCCGGUCGGGAGUGGGUAAUUUGCGCCGCUUCGCUGCCUUCCUUGGAUGUGGUAGCCGCUUUCAGGCUCCCUCCGAAUCGAACCCUGAUUCCCCGCCACCCGUGGUCACCAUGGUAGGCACAGACAGUACCAUCGAAAGUUGAUAGGGCAGACAUUCGAACGGUCGCCGCCGCCGCCGGGGCGCGGCGAUCGCUCGAGGUUAUCUAGAGUCACUAAAGCUGCCGGGCGGGCCCGGGUUGGUUUUGGCCCGAUAAAUGCACGCUGCCCCCGGAGGUCGGCGCCGCCGGCAUGUAUUAGCUCUAGAAUUACCACAGUUAUCCAAGGAGCGGGAGAGGAGCCACCAAAGGAACCAUAACUGAUUUAAUGAGCCAUUCGCGAGUUUCACUGUACCGCCUGUGUACUUUAGACAUGCAUGGCUUAAGCUUUGAGACAAGCAUAUGCUACUGGCAGGAUCAACCAGGUAGCCGCUACCUCCACGGGCGGCGCCGCCAAGGAUUUAUAACGGCGUCCGACGCGCCCGCCCGCUGGCGAACGCUGCGGCUUCGCUGGAAGCCCGACCGCCUCUGCGGCUUCGCCGCCCG
rnacentral:rRNA from 1 species